CCUGUCAGCUUCUCAGCUAUUGGCUUGAACUCCUCUGGACUGAGGUACAGAUCGUUGUUUGUGUCCAGAGAAGAAAAGAGAAACAGCCCCUCGCUGCCCAAAGACUUCAGCGCCAGCUCCUGCUGCCGGGCGGCCUCGGCGUCUCGGUAGUACUUAACGGCGGCCAGCGCUGCCAAGGCGGCCAAGGCCAGCGCCAGCCGCGACGGAGCCGCGCCGGGAACCGCCAUGGGCUCAGCGCUCAGCGGGGCCGCUCCGCCAUGGCCGCGACGGAGCGGGGCGGGGCUGAGGGAAGGGCCGGGCUGAGGGAAGGGCUCCGCCCGCAGCGCGAGGCCCGGAGGGGACGAGGGGGGAAUGUAAGUUUGUGCUUCGCUGCUGCUGGGAUUUGUCGUAGAAUCGCUCAGGUUGGAAAAGACCGUCAAGAUCAUCAAGUCCAACCGCAGCCUAACCGUACAUAACUCUAACAGCCCUCUGCUAAAUCACGGCCCUGAGCACCACAUCCAGACGGAUUUUAAACACAUCCAGGGAUGGUGACUCCACCUCCUCCCUGGGGACCCCAUUCCAGUGCUUAACAACCCUUUCCGGAAAGAAGCUUUUCCUGAUAUCCAACCUAAACCUCCCCUGGUGCAACUUGAGGCCAUGUCCCGUCAGCUGUCAGCAGUGAGGAGAGACCAACCCCGCUCCCACCGCCAUCACCCUCCAGGUUUAAGGAGUGUUUUGGUUAGAAAGCGUGACCAAGAACCAUGAAGAAAGCAGUGUGAGCUGCUCAAGGAAGAGGCUGGCAACCCUGAACAAAAACCAGGAGCAUGGAGUUGUGAGAAAUCCUCAGGAAGGGCAAAAAAGCACAGUGAGUUUUCAUGCAGAACACAGGGAACGCAUCUGGAGGGAACAGGUGUUGAAAUGGAGCCUUCUCCUUGGAACCUGGGCACUGUUCCUCUCUCUGCCACAGAUCUCCACAGGGCCCUGGGUGUUUCUCUUGCAGUGGUGGUGUGAGCUUAGGCAAUACUAGAGGUAUCUAGAUGCACUGGAGCAUUGGGCCAUCAGCAACAGCAUGGAAUUUAACAUAAACAAGCAGCUGGCAAAUGCCAGAUUCUGCAAUAGGAACAGAGUAGCACUGCACAUAGGUUCAGACUGGGAGAUAAGCAGCUGGAGAGCAGCCCUGCAAGGGAGCAGCCUGGCAUGCUGGUUGACAGCAGUCUCAGUCUGAAUCUAUCUAUUCUGGGGUGCAUUACACAUAGCACAACCAGCCAUUCAAAAGAGGAGAUUCUCACACAUGUACCAUUGGUCUGGCCUCACUUAGAAUACUGUCUGCUGUUCUCAAUUUAAACAGGGUGUUAAGAUGCUUGAAUGUGUCCAGAGGAACACAACAGAGCUGGUAGAAGGGCAGGAAGGAAUGUCCUAUGAGAAGCAUCUGAGGACACUGGGUGUUAAGCUUGCAGGAGAGGUUGAGGAGUCACAGAAUCACAGAAUGGCCUGGGUUGAAAAGGACCAAAAUGAUCAUCAAAUUUCAACCCCCCUGCUAUGUGCAGGGUCACCAACCACCAGCCCAGGCUGCCCAGAGCCACAUCCAGCCUGGAUGUCACCUCACUGCUCUCCAUAACUGCCUGAGAAAGGAAAGUGUUCACCUUUCCUCUCUGUUAUCAGCACCAGGAUGCACAGCAAUGGAACAAAGCUGUGUUAGGGAAGGUUCAGACCGGACAUCAGGAAUAGCUUAUUUACUAUGAGGGUACUCAGACACUAGGACUGACUUCAUAGAGAGAUGGCUGUCCACGAUUAAGAGGCAUUUGGAUAACACCCUUCAACACAAUUUAACUCUGGUUCAGUUCCAGAGUAGCCUGCCAGCUGGAAGGGACCUACUAACAGAGAUUAUCGAGUCCAACUGCAACUAUUCUGUUCUGUACACAAUGCACUAGAAUGGGGCACCCAGUAACACCCAAACACCAGGUUAUUCACCACACAGAUCAGUGCUGUUACUUCUGCCACCCUUUAGAAGAAAGUGUUCACAAAACUCUAUCACUGCUCUUUGCUCCAUCAGUGAAACAGCACCACAUGGGCCAUGGGGAAGAAAUGGGAAGAACAGAAUUAAAAGAGCACUGGAAUAAUGGUUAGGAAUAGAGACAAGGGUGAGUUGGUUUCCACAUAAGAUGUGCUUUAAACUUUAUCCUAGACUCACUAGGUUUAGACAGAGAGGCGUAGAGAGCUUUAAGUUACCUCAAAUAACCUAGCAAGUGCUUUUAGAGCAUAAAAUAUAACAGGAUGAGACAGCUCUGAAACAGGAUAAAUAUACCUGUGUCUGGGAAAUGAGCAAGAGGUGACACAAAAUGACAGACCCUGCAGAUGGAAAAGGAGACCUGAUAGUGGCUGGCAGAGCCAAAAUGGUAUCAUGUAGAUAAGAAGCAGAGAGGCUCAUUUUAUACCUGAACCACUGCCAGUGUCAUCAGCGAGCAUAUAAAAAAUGACAGAGCUGAAUUAUUUGGUAGGAAGAAGAAUGAAAGACAAAAGGUAAAGUAAUUCAGGGCAUCUGCUGGGAACCAAUUCUCCUCAAAGGAGAACAAAACCAACUUCUGUGCUGCUGGUUCUUGAGAUUAUACAUUACAGUACUGAGGAAGAACUUCAGAUAUUCAGACAUCUGCGGAGUGGCCCACCCAAGCACCCUCAUAUCAGAGGAAAUCCUCCUGAUAGAGAAAUAACGGGGAAGAUUUCCAUCAUGAAAAUUCACCCAGCAGGAAAACGCUGUCCUGCAUUCCUCCCCUGCCAGCAGGGAGAGUCCAGACAGAAGAAAAAAUAGGAAGAACUUGGUAGCAGAAAUGGAAAGCUUGUAUUGAGCUGUUUUGGAGUAAGACAGGUUUUCCAUACGCUGGGAUACACAGAGCACCUCCAUGUUAUAGAGUGGUAUGAUCUGAGAGAAACCCCGUCCUCAUUUAAAUGUAUGGCCUCAUUCCCAUAGCCUGAAACUUGGCCUGUUUUAAAGUCAAAGUGAUCAUUACGUAAUGGAAGGCAGCAUUAAAAUCAGAGCUCUGCUCACAGAUGGACAAAGUACCUGGAAACAGAACAGCCCCUGAGGAAGUGAGUGCUGGUCAGACUGCAGCCCAUAAAAUCCUUUGGAAAGCAGGAAGGAACAGGGAGUAUUGAAGUCUGGUUUUACAUGGGGCCUCUCCAAGGGGAUGAGAAUUACUGAGAUGCAUUUACUGCAGCUUGCAUCUCAUGGUGACACAAAACUACACAGGCAGACAUGGGAAACACAUUUCACCCUAGGAAAGGAACAGGCAGCAAUGCUGCAGCGUGAAGUUCAGUGCAGACAUUUCAAACUAGAGCAUUUGCUAGAAGAAUAUGAGCCAACACCUCCCAAACUCCCAUGUGUUUGCAUUCCUCACUUUCAUUUUCAAUCCAUUCCAGCAAGUCACUCACAUGGGCUCUCUAGUCAAAAGCAUUGACAGUGUUUUAUUGAAAGGAUUCCUGAUUCUCUCAUUCCAAUUACCCGUCUCCAUAUGGAAUGAAGCCACAGACCCAAGUGCAGUGAGAAGUAAUGGCUGAAACUUUGGAACCACUGGUAGCUGCUCAGUGCAUCAUACACAAAACAAUCAGAUAUGCAUUCAUUUUGUGGAUUGCUUUGUCUUAUUCUCUUGUAUGGUCAAGUGGCAACAGCCAGCCAUUCUACAAGUCACUGGUUUUCAUCUCUAGCACGUGAUGGAGCUUUUAUCAGAACUAGGUUUAAAGGAAAUCCCCUACAGACAGGAUCAUGUUCUGAUGCUGAGAAUUAACACUAUCAUCUCAGUCCCUGAAUCUGAAUGCAGGAGAGGAAAUAGGAAAGAACUUAGGCUGAUACAUUUCCUGCUAAGGUGACUCCAAAGUACAAAACACCAUAUAUCAACAGCAUGAUUGAAUCAUGAAGGUUGGAAAAGACCUCGAGGAUCAUCUAGUCCAAUCAUCAACCCAUCCCCACCACGCUCACUAAACCACAUCCAAGUCAUGCACCCAGUGUGGGGCAUGGAAGCAGCCCAAAGAUCUCCCCACAUCUUUUCCGUUAGAGAUCUAAAAUGAAAUUUCUGGUUCAAGCAUUAACACUCCAUUCACCUACUUGAAGUAUGGGAAUCAAGGGGUUUUCCAUGUGGACAAACAAAAAAUCCUCCCACUCCCACCCAGUGGGAAGCAUACAUGGUUGGUGCAAGAUAAGAGCUGAAAUCCUACAGCUGAGGGCCCUGCGAGCAUCCAGUCAAGGCUCAGGGUGUACCAAGGAGUGAGAAGACAGCAGAAGCAUUUCAGACCACCACUGAGGCAAGCAUUUGUGCUACCUGCAUUGCUGUAGGACAGAAGAAUCCCAGUUGUGGCUCAGGGCUAUGCGGUGGAACAGAGCUGAUCCUUGGAACCAAUCUUUACUCCUAAAUGCAGACACGCUUAAUGCAAUGCCUGUGAUUAAUCCACUGACUUGAGUGGAUUGACUAACUGUGAGUAUCUGUAAGCACAGCCAGAGGUAUUUGCAGAACUGUAGUCUGCAGGAGUGGAAAUUUUAAGGAUGGCUGUUUGCAACAGAAAGCUUUUUAUUUUUGUGACUGGUGCCAACCUCCCUACGAGUGUCGUGGUAAGCAAACUUAUCCAUCAAUAAGCUUUACAUCAACAGGCCUGCUGUGCAGCUAAAGAGACUUAUUGGUAAUACAGCCACCGAACUGCAAAAAAGCAGUAGCUUUCUUCCAUAAGUGCGUGUGACUUUACUCAUACCAUCCCUGCUCACUUACGUGGAACAGAAGAGCAGAGUUUUAACCCUGCACCAAGGAUCUGUUUCUAAAGGAUGCCAGAAAUACCCUAUGGGAAGUUAUGUUUUACCAGGCAAACUGUUAUGAGUAACUCCAAGAACACAGAUUUUAAUGUAUGGAAUUCCCUCAAUCCAUUAUAAAUAUUAUCUGGGCUCAGCUGUCUUCCCCAAAAUCAAAUCCCUCAGAUAAGACGAUUCAUUCCCAAGAUGUUUGUUUACCAAUAACCAUUCCUCUAGGCCAAGUUUGCCAGUCCACAGCAUUACCCAAGGAAUAGCGAUAACUCUAUAUUUGAUAACCUUAUUUCUACUGGGCAAUUCACAACCAUGGAUUUCAAAACACAUUUUUUAUUCCCACAACUUGCUCCAAGCAACUUCAAAUGGAGGAAAAUGCUCCAACCUCCGAAGGCUGCAAAGCUUUGCAAUGGCCAGAGGGAAGGCAGGCAGGAGCAAGCACCCCACAUCCAGCCCCAGCUGCAAGAACUGCUAACCCAUACUGCUAAGCAAGGGCUCCACGUCUCCCAGGGCCUCAGCACAGCCAUCCUCUGCUCAGAGUCACACACUGAGGACACACAGGGUGAACAGCAGGGACACACAGAACAAUCUGGCUUCAAUUUUUUACUUAUUUUUUCUCCUAUUAUAUCAUUCCAGAAGCAAACUUACCUGGGGAUUAUUUAUUUUUUCGCUAGAAAACAAGAUAUCUAGUAGAACUCCUGCUAAGCUAUAUCAGACAGUGAACAAGCAAUUGAAGAGAGUGGUGCAGAUGGGAACUGCUGUCCAUAUUCUGGCUAGAUAACACUGGAAAUCAACAUAGCUUGAGAAACAUUCCUGAAGCCAACCAGUAUUGUCAGUCAUUUCAACAAGCACAACGUCUUUGGCAUAUGGCUUUAAAGUAGGAUCAACCCAGAAAUGCUUUUUAUUUUACAAGACCUAUAUUCUGUUUCACAGAUUUGACUAUUACAGCAGUGGAAUUAUUACAAGUGAUUCGUAACAUUUAGUUCCAAAUAAAAGUAGAAAAGCACAAAAACGAUAAUGGGAAGUUAAAUGAGAUCUGAUGUGUGGUAAGUGUGUUUUAAGAGCACAGGAAAAAAAAAAGAAGAAUAUAAAAAUACAUUAGGAUAAAGAAUUUUGCUGACAGGUUUUGCUUUAGUUACAGUUUUGACACCACUUAGAAAGCACAGUAUAUUGAAAACUGUUAAUUAGAAAGGUGAUAAAUCCAAUGGUAUAUAAAAGGCAAAAAUGAAACAGAAAAAAAUGAAAGGAGGAGUGUGUGUGUGUGUUGUGGGAAGUCUAUCUUAUGGAAAACUUCCAGUCCUUUGGCCACUAUAAAGCAAAGUCAGUGGAUUUCAUAUAAAUUCUCUGUAGAAAGGAAUGUCUAUGAACUGUGUACAGUAUGGCCCAGAAUAAACAUCUCAUUAUCAGGCUAUUAGAGCUCCUCACAGAGGAAAAUAAGGUGCUUACGUCAUGGUUUCAUCUUCCCAAUAGAAUACUGUCCGGAAUUGGACUAGUGCCCCAAAAUACCAUUUCAGGAACAACACAAAUUCCUUUAAUGGAAAGGAAAUGCAGUAACCUGCCGAUGUUGUGGGAGCAGGGUGCUGGGCAAUGGCCUCACUAUUGCACGCUUGCUUUAGCUUUGAAGUUUGAGUGGUUGACUGGCAGGGGGUGAGCCUCUGUGUUGAACACCCAGUCGUCCAGAGACAGCACGUCAUCUUCACAGAACAGAAGAUAGAGGUACCUGCAGCCAUAAGGGCAAGAGGGAAGAAGAUGGACACAAAGGGAGAUCAAAAGAAGCUCAGGUGGGACUCCAAGCAUGCACAAGAGAGCCAGGCUGUGAUGGGGCUGCUGCUAGCCUCAGCUCCCAUAACUCAUGGUGACAGGUUUCCUGACAGCCCACUUCGCUCUCUUGCUGAAAGCUGCCAUCCCUGGAGGAAGCACAGCAAAAUGCUGUGAGCAUAUGUGCUCAGCCACCCCACAAACGAUACCUCAAAGCCACUACCAGAGGUAGAUCUGCAGCAAGGGACAGCAAAUCCACGUCACAGUCAAACCUCCCCUUUGUGCAGAGCAUUAACCUGACAGAGGGGACAGCUGUCACUUAAACCAUCAGAGCUUCCCAGUCAUUUGGAAUAGUUCUGGAUGGCAGGAAGAGUUCUUUAAACCCAGCACAUAAGAAGAAUCCUGCAGUCUGCCUCUAACAGCAAUAGUUCUAAUGAGGAAGUUAUUAAAGCUUUGCCGCACCCAAAUCCUUGGCCCAAAUUUCCCCACAGAAAAGAAAAAACUUUCCUUAAUAGAGAUUUAUGCAGGCAAAAUUGUUGAUCUUGCAAGAAUUGUGCUAUUCUGACAUGACCUUUUGAUACCAGACUUACUUCAGAGUCUCUGCAAGGAAAAAACUCUGUUGCAUGUUGUCAUGGGUUGGGACCGUGGUGUAAACAUCUCGGAUGCCAGAAAAACCAGCCUCUACUCUGCAGUGUUUUUCCAGAGCCUGAGAAAGGAAAAGAAAUCCCAGUAACACACAACAGCAUGGACCAACACAUUAAUCGUGGGCUGCAUUGAAAGUCCACUUAACAAAUCAAAUUCAGAGUUCAUAGCAGCUUCUGCCUCUCACUGAAGUUAACUGGUGGUUAUUCCAGCCUCCAGGAAUAAAGCUACCUCUAAUGCAAUAGCAAGAGAAACAUAAACUGCCUCAGCUGGGUGAUUGAUUGACCUUGACAUUACACACAACAAAAACAGAUCUCAAGUGGCAACUCCAGCUGCUUGCAGAGCCUCUUUUCCAGGGCAUCAGAUGAAUGAUGGUUCUGCCACUGAAAUGCAGUCCCUGCUAUGAUGCAGGGCAGCAGCCAAACAGCAUGAGCUAUGAAGAAGCGAGAGGCUUUCUGGUUGGGAAGUUGUAGAGGGAAGAAGACAGUAAGACAAAGGGCAAAGCCAAGUUUGCUGAUUUUCCCUGGUGAACUCAAAACUGAAACUCAAAAAGUUCAGAGCACUCCACAUACAAGGUUGACUCCUUUUGGCAGAAAGCUGUCACAUCAACAUCAGGUUUUGCUGGCUGCAGCACUCUUCUCCAUGAACUUCUGCUGUUAAGACUGAUUUCACUAGAGCCCAAAAGGGUGAAGAAAGCAUUCACUACAACCAGCAAAGAAGCUGCACCAAAUUGAGCUACUUUGUUUACUUCUGCCCCACUGCAAAUGUUUCUCGGUCCCUCACAUUUUAAGUAAUUUCUGCUCUUUUUCCUAACUUGAAGGAGAGAUUCUUGUCAGAAUCCAGCAGCCUGCAAGGGAGUUUUCCAGCCAUACCUUCACGACCUCCCAGCCCCACUGCCUGUACUUGACAUCGUGUGUCAGCCUCCACAUGUACACGUAGCUCUCUACCACUUCUGGGCGCAGGAUGUAGUAGCGCUCGCUGAGUCUGGUUGCCAUGGCUUCAGUUCCAGCAUCAAAACGAAAGGCUUCAGGGCCAAGUUUGGUAUCUAAACAAAAUCACACACAGUAAUAAUCAGCUUGAGCAAGCAAGUAAACAGACUGUCCAGGUGUUUUUAUGCUGUUCAGGAUGCAGACAUUUGACUCAGGCUUGCAUGAGGUCAGAAGAGAUCAGUCAUGCCUGUGUACGUGUGUCAGAGUUACUGCUCAUCCUGUGGUAUGCCUGGCUACUAUUUAAGCAGAGGAUGAAGUGUUUCUGAGGGUGCAGACAACUGAAAAAAACAAAGACCUGGACGAGAUUUGAGUGUGGAGAGAGCAGAGUUCACUACUGCAAACAAACUCAAGACCCAGGUGAGAACAUACAGAGAGGCUGACCAUUUCCUAACGCCUCAAAGAGAAAAGUCAAACCCUGUGACUGAACCUGCCAUCCCUGAGACACUGCUGCACUGCUCCCAGACUGGGGAGUUGUUGCUUCACAGUCACCAGUAGGGCAGAUGGAGCCAUUUCAACUGCACUGGUGCGUGGAAGCUACAAGGAGAGACACCUGGGACCUGCAACCACUUCCUCUGCCCUUCCUUCUUGUCUACUGACAGCCUUAAAAAAAGGACAUCAUGUGGAUGGGGAAAGCUUAAUCCAUUUCACUGAUAUUUCAUGAAUAAAACAUUACAAGUACCUUGACUUUUUUUUGAGUGCCCCUUAUGCAAAGCUCUCAAUCUCUCACCAACAUCAGCUAGUAUUCAAUUCAUACCUUCAAGAACUACUUACAUCCUCACGCCACAUCACACUUCUCUUACUGCACCUACACGUUUACCACGUGGCUGUGUUUCAGGUAGUCAUUUUAUUUCUAUAUAUACUUUGCACACUUUCUCUGGGCCCUCCUAUCUAAAUGGGGAUCAAAUAGUGUCUGCUAGUUGUGCUAUUUGCUGAGAGCUGGUGCACAGACACUCUGCAAACAAUGGGCCUGCAGAGAUGACAGCACUGUAAUCAGUGUGGGCAGGCCUGCCAUUGUCCUUUCUAUGCUGAUGGACACUGUUAAAGGUGAAAACUGGCUCCAGGCACUCACAGCCAGAGGAUUUUUAGUUUGGGUGAUUUGCUUCAUUUCUCUAAGUGCUGGGGGGGGAAAAAAAAAACAAAAAAAACAACAACACUAAAAAAAACCACCUACCUUAUUUGCAAGUAUAAUUUCAGGUUAACCUAAAGCCAGUUAGGCAAGCAUGCCAGACCACAACUGCCAAUACAGUCUUGAUGAUUUGGUGAAACAAUCUUUGCAAACAGUGCAGACAGGAUGUGUUUGACAAGGUCUUGGAAAGGUGACUGCUGCUUUUCUGCCUGCAGGCUCAGGAGAGCUAUAGAGAUGCUUUCAAAGAAAGGAGUAGAGUCC
rnacentral:lncRNA from 1 species